CGGAGCGGUCCAGGUGAUCGCCGGCUGCACUGCAGCGGGAGGAAAGUCCGAGCACCAUAGGACAGGAUGCCAGCUAACGGCUGGUGGGGGUGACCCCAAGGAAAGUGCCACAGAAAGCAAACCGCCCCGCUCCCUUGGGCGCGGGGUAAGGGUGAAAGGGUGAGGUAAGGGCUCACCGGGCCGGCGGUAACGACGGUCGCACGGUAAACCCCAUUCGGUGCAAGGCGGAAUAGGGAAGCGCUCGAGGGUGGUCCGCCCGAAGCUUCCGGGUUCGCCGCUUGAGGGGCACGGUGACGUGUCCUCUAGAUGAAUGAUCACCACCGGCGCCUUGGUGACGAGCGCUGGUACAGGACUCGGCUUAUGGGCUCUCCGACCU
rnacentral:RNase_P_RNA from 1 species